CGUCUGUGCUGGUUCAUUCAGUGCAUGACUGCAGUGUCUACAGGAGCACAGGAUGAAGAAAAAAAAAAAAAAAAGCAGAAGCAGGGGCCAGUAAACCCGGGCCAGCUUUUGCUGAGGCCGUUAGCCACAAUUCACGGAGGCGCUGGAUGUUUCCCACUAGGUUCUGGUCGGCCUGGAGACGGCAACUUAUUAAUCUUGUGAUGGAGGGCCAGCUGCAGCGGUGGCUGUUACCAUCCCACCACCGACCUGCACACACUUUUCUUUUUUUCACCUCUUCCCUGCUUUUUCUCCCUCACUUUUUCUUUUUUUCAGUUUUUUUUUAGAGUGGCUUUAUUUCUGAGCUUCAGUAAAGCUGCACUACGCUUACAUACAGUUCACUACAGAAAAUGACUCAAGAGUAAAGUUUGUUCAUUUACAAGCUAAAAAGCAAAAAAGCUAACAAGUGUCAUCUUUAUGUUUUUGUGUUUUUUUUAUUAUAUUGUAUUUUCUGUGUAUUUUUUUAUAUUCAUC
rnacentral:lncRNA from 1 species